CCGUGCGACAGGUGUCUGUGCUCGCCCUGAGGAUCCUCUCUGUCGUUUUCAUCCAUGAGGCGUGGAGAAAAACGUAAGGGGUGGAGAGAGAGACGGAGAGACAGAGAGAGAGACUGGAGGUAUAAAAGGUGUAUACCUGUCACAAACGGCACACACGUUCAGUGCGCGUAAAAGGAUACCUGAAGACACAGGAGCCAGCUGUUACGCGCCCAUUGUCUGUCUCUCACUCGGAUCAUCAUUACUUUUUGUUGCGCCUUUUUCAUGUCUGUAUUUGCUUCACGUUGAGCCUCACGCACAAUACCUGAAGAUGAAGUUUUGUUCGUUCGGCUCGCGUUAUGCAGGUACGGGUUGGCAACUGGAAAAGACGCAAACUUUGUUUUUUCGUUAUGGGGGCAUCCCCGCUGCAUCACUGUUGUUGACAAUGUCAAUCCGCAGUUAAGACUCUGACUGAAGUAAAGUUGUUUUAAAUUUG